GAUGAACGCUGGCGGCGUGCCUAAUACAUGCAAGUAGAACGCUGAAGGAGGAGCUUGCUCUUCUGGAUGAGUUGCGAACGGGUGAGUAACGCGUAGGUAACCUGCCUGGUAGCGGGGGAUAACUAUUGGAAACGAUAGCUAAUACCGCAUGACAACAGUUAUUGCAUGAUAACUGUUUAAAAGGGGCAACUGCUCCACUACCAGAUGGACCUGCGUUGUAUUAGCUAGUUGGUGAGGUAACGGCUCACCAAGGCGACGAUACAUAGCCGACCUGAGAGGGUGAUCGGCCACACUGGGACUGAGACACGGCCCAGACUCCUACGGGAGGCAGCAGUAGGGAAUCUUCGGCAAUGGACGGAAGUCUGACCGAGCAACGCCGCGGGAGUGAAGAAGGUUUUCGGAUCGUAAAGCUCUGUUGUAAGAGAAGAACGAGUGUGAGAGUGGAAAGUUCACACUGUGACGGUAUCUGAACAGAAAGGGACGGCUAACUACGUG
rnacentral:rRNA from 1 species